rnacentral:rRNA from 1 species
CAGUGACGGUAGCUAACCAGAAAGUCACGGCUAACUACGUGCCAGCAGCCGCGGUAAUACGUAGGUGGCAAGCGUUAUCCGGAUUUAUUGGGCGUAAAGCGAGCGCAGGCGGUUUGAUAAGUCUGAUGUGAAAGCCUUUGGCUUAACCAAAGAAGUGCAUCGGAAACUGUCAGACUUGAGUGCAGAAGAGGACAGUGGAACUCCAUGUGUAGCGGUGGAAUGCGUUGAUAUAUGGAAGAACACCAGUGGCGAAGGCGGCUGUCUGGUCUGCAACUGACGCUGGGGCUCGAAAGCAUGGGUAGCGAACAGGAUUAGAUACCCUGGUAGUCCAUGCCGUAAACGAUGAGUGCUAGGUGUUGGAGGGUUUCCGCCCUUCAGUGCCGCAGCUAACGCAUUAAGCACUCCGCCUGGGGAGUACGACCGCAAGGUUGAAACUCAAAGGAAUUGACGGGGGCCCGCACAAGCGGUGGAGCAUGUGGUUUAAUUCGAAGCUACGCGAAGAACCUUACCAGGUCUUGACAUCUUGCGCCAACCCUAGAGAUAGGGCGUUUCCUUCGGGAACGCAAUGACAGGUGGUGCAUGGUCGUCGUCAGCUCGUGUCGUGAGAUGUUGGGUUAAGUCCCGCAACGAGCGCAACCCUUGUUACUAGUUGCCAGCAUUCAGUUGGGCACUCUAGUGAGACUGCCGGUGACAAACCGGAGGAAGGUGGGGACGACGUCAGAUCAUCAUGCCCCUUAUGACCUGGGCUACACACGUGCUACAAUGGACGGUGCAACGAGUCGCGAACUCGCGAGGGCAAGCUAAUCUCUUAAAACCGUUCUCAGUUCGGACUGCAGGCUGCAACUCGCCUGCACGAAGUCGGAAUCGCUAGUAAUCGCGGAUCAGCAUGCCGCGGUGAAUACGUUCCCGGGCCUUGUACACACCGCCCGUCACACCAUGAGAGUUUGCAACACCCAAAGUCGGUGGGGUAACCCUUCGGGGAGCUAGCCGCCUAAGGUGGGGCAGAUGAUUAGGGUGAAGUCGUAACAAGGUAACC